CUGGCAAGCUACGGAGUUUCGAGCAAUUAGAAACAUUAAGAACUUUGAGGGACUUCAACUUAUGAAUGGUAUCCGGAAGGCAAACAAGAUACCUGCAAUUCUGUAAAUGCAAAAGAACAAGUCCAACCAGACAUCCUAAUGAUGAAGGUAGCUCUGUUACAGCAGUUCCAUCCAAAUGAAGCUCUGCUAGAUGUCCCAUGCAAUUCCCAAAGUCUGGGACAGUGUUCAUGUUUGAACAACCAGAAAGAUUUAAAACCUUUAAUGAACUCAUCUCCAUUUUACCUGGAAGAGCUUUGAGCCUUUUGCAGCCUCUUAAGUUCAAUUGAACAAGUUUCUUGAGCUGCAUAACAGAUGAGUGGAUUUCGGUUAGGCUUGUACAACCUUCAAGAACUAACGAUUCGAGAUUCGGAACCUCCACAAAGUCAGGGGUUUGGUUUAGGUUAUCGGAAAAACUCAAGUUGAUGCACUUCAACUUAUGUAAAAUCUGAUCAAAAGUAUACAUGUGAAAGCAAAAUUUCAAUGUUA